AUGAACGCUGGCGGCGUGGAUAAGGCAUGCAAGUCGAGCGGAACAUUUUUUGAACGAGUUGCGAUUACAUCAAGACAAGGGAUUUAAAUGUUUAGCGGCAGACGGGGUAGUAACACGUAGGAACUCACCCCAGAGACGGGCAUAACUAGCCGAAAGGUUAGCUAAUUCCCGAUAGUCUCGUAAGAGUAAACCACUUAGAUUGGCUCUGGGAAAGGCCUGCGGGCUAUCAGCUUGUUGGUGAGGUAAUGGCUCACCAAGGCUAUGACGGCUAGGGGGCGUGAGAGCGCGACCCCCACCAAUGGAACUGCGACACGGUCCAUACAUCUACGGAUGGCUGCAGUCAAGAACAUUCGACAAUGGGCGAAAGCCUGAUCGAGCGACGCCGCGUGCGGGAAGAAACUCUUCGGAGUGUAAACCGCUUUUAUGGGGGAGGAACUAAAGUGACUGUACCCCAUGAAUAAGGCCUUGCUAACCUCGUGCCAGCAGCCGCGGUAAGACGAGGAGGUCAAGCGUUAUCCGGAUUUACUGGGCGUAAAGGGUGUGUAGGGGGCAUAGUUAGUCUCUGUUUAAAUUUUCGGGCUCAACCCGAAAGCCGGCAGAGAAACGGCUAAGCUUAGAGGGUGCCAGAGGCAAAUGGAACUCAUGGUGUAGGGGUGAAAUCCGUUGAUAUCAUGGGGAACACCAAAGGCGAAGGCAAUUUGCUGGGGCAUUCCUGACCCUGAAACACGAAAGCGUGGGGAUCAAAAAGGAUUAGAUACCCUUGUAGUCCACGCCCUAAACGAUGCACGCUAGGCAUUCGAAGUAUCGACCCUUCGAGAGUCCGAAGCUAACGCGUUAAGCGUGCCGCCUGGGAAGUACGAACGCAAGUUUAAAACUCAAAGGAAUAGACGGGGACUCGCACAAGCGGUGGAGCAUGUGGUUCAAUUCGACGGUAAACGAAGAACCUUACCAGGGUUUGAAAUGGCUCUGACGGUGCCCGAAAGGGUUACCUUCUCACAAGGACAGAGUCACAGGUGCUGCAUGGCUGUCGUCAGUUCGUGGCUUGAGUUGUUCCCUUAAGUGGGGUAACGAACGCAACCCUUAUCACGCGUUACAAGUGUCGCGUGAGACUGCCUCGAUAAACGGGGAGGAAGGCGGGGAUGACGCCAAGUCCGCAUGGCCCUCUGAUACCCUGGGCUACACACGUGCUACAAUGCGCGCUACAAUGGGCCGCGAUGCCGUAAGGCGGAGCUAAUCCCAUCAAAGGCGUGCUCAGUUCGGAUUGGAGUCUGAAACCCGACUCCAUGAAGUUGGAAUCGCUAGUAAUCGCAGGUCAGCUAUACUGCGGUGAAUACGUUCUCGAGUCUUGUACUCACCGCCCGUCAUUGCAGGGAAGCCGGGAAUACCCGAAUACCGUGUGAACGGUAGAAGGUAAGCUCGGUGACAAGGCAA
rnacentral:rRNA from 1 species